GGAUUGCCCCAGUAACGGCGAGUGAAGCGGCAACAGCUCAAAUUUGAAAUCUGGCUCUCGGGCCCGAGUUGUAAUUUGUAGAGGAUGCUUUUGGUGAGGUGCCUUCCGAGUUCCCUGGAACGGGACGCCAUAGAGGGUGAGAGCCCCGUCUGGUUGGACACCGAUCCUCUGUAAAGCUCCUUCGACGAGUCGAGUAGUUUGGGAAUGCUGCUCUAAAUGGGAGGUAUAUGUCUUCUAAAGCUAAAUACCGGCCAGAGACCGAUAGCGCACAAGUAGAGUGAUCGAAAGAUGAAAAGAACUUUGAAAAGAGAGUUAAACAGUACGUGAAAUUGUUGAAAGGGAAGCGCUUGUGACCAGACUUGGGCUUGGUUGAUCAUCCGGGGUUCUCCCCGGUGCACUCUUCCGGCUCAGGCCAGCAUCAGUUCGCCCUGGGGGAUAAAGGCUUCGGGAAUGUGGCUCUCUCCGGGGAGUGUUAU
rnacentral:rRNA from 1 species